AUGAAGGCACAUUUCUCAGAGAAAAAAAUAUCCUAUGAGGCCAGGAGGGUUCUUCCUAUGAAUUUUUUUUUCUCCAAAGAUAUUGUCAACUGGAUUACACAUUUUCCAAAUAAAAUCUCUUAUAUAAGCUUUCCUUGGGAUUUAUCUUUAUUGAAAGUCAUACAACUUCAGAUACAGGCUGAUUUGACCAAACAAAUGACUGUGACUCAGUCUUCUGGUUGACCAUUAUCAUGGAAGAAAACUCAGGUAAUUUCAGAAAUCAUUGUUUUGGGAAGAUAUACUGGAUUAAAGUGCAAGUUGGAUUGAGACAUAGGGACUCUGAAGAAAGAACAGAUGUAUGGCUAUUGGAAUGUGACUGAAAAAUAUCUAAACUGUCAGUGACAAUGACAAUGGAAGGCAAAGAAACCUAUAGGACCAUUUAGAUCUGUCAUAGACUGGACAUGGGAAGAGAAUGACCAGAGGUCAGUAGUUCUUAAAGUCAGUUUGGUCAUUUACAUCUUAAUCACUUGGGAUCUUUGUUAAAAUUCAUAUUCUUGGGUUCUCCUUUGGCUCUUCUGAAAUGGGUGAGACCUGGGAAUUUGUUUUUUCUCAUAUGCUGCCAGAUGAUUCUUAUGCUCUGUAAAGUCUGAGAAGCACUGAAUUCAGAUUUAUAUAUAUAUAUAUAUAUAUAUCAGGUUAUCAAUUAUAAUCAAAAUAGUUCUAACCUAAUUUUGUUAGCCUGUCUGUAAGUGACAAACAGUUCCAAAAGAUGAUGGAAGUGAUGGUAGUAGUAUAUUGGGAGAGGGCCAUCAUUGAUCUGGUAUAUAGACUUUCUUACUACUUAACAGGAAACAAAAAUUGCCUUCUGCUAUGUCUCUAAUUGCCUUUAUUCAUUUAUUCACUCAAUCCAUCACUCAGCAUUGAACGCUUCCUAUAUGCCUGGUACUCUGUGGAGCUCUGGGAAUGAAAAGGUGAGCUGAGGCUUAUAUUAGAAACAUAAUUCCAUUUAUGGUCAUAUCCAACAUCUCUGCCAGUUUAACAGCGUCUUCUUUAGUCCUUGGAAAUUAUAGGCCUAUUCCCUUUGGCGUACUCUCAUUCCCAAGUCACAACCAAAUGGGUCAGGAAUGUACACUUGCCCUGACACCAGGCAGUCAAUGGACCAAAUGCUAUCUUCAGAAUUUGAAGAUGGUGACAUUAUGGCUGUAGUCAGUAAAUUGUUGAGUGUGAGAGUAUGAGUUAUAACUUUAUAUCCCAGUGAUGGUCACAGCAUCUUCAUGCCUAAGUCCUUUACAUGUCACUUUCUAAAGAAGUCCUUAACGACCUCCCAGAAUAGCUCAUAU
rnacentral:lncRNA from 1 species